rnacentral:rRNA from 1 species
AUUGAACGCUGGCGGAAUGCUUUACACAUGCAAGUCGAACGGCAGCACGGACUUCGGUCUGGUGGCGAGUGGCGAACGGGUGAGUAAUGUAUCGGAACGUGCCCAGUCGUGGGGGAUAACGUAGUGAAAAUUACGCUAAUACCGCAUAAGAUCUAUGGAUGAAAGCGGGGGAUCGCAAGACCUCGCGCGAUUGUAGCGGCCGAUAUCAGAUUAGGUAGUUGGUGGGGUAAAGGACCACCAAGCCAACGAUCUGUCGCUGGUCUGAGAGGACGACCAGCCACACUGGAACUGAGACACGGUCCAGACUCCUACGGGAGGCAGCAGUGGGGAAUUUUGGACAAUGGGCGAAAGCCUGAUCCAGCCAUUCCGCGUGCAGGAUGAAGGCCCUCGGGUUGUAAACUGCUUUUGUACAGAACGAAAAGGUUUCUACUAAUACUAGGAGCUCAUGACGGUACUGUAAGAAUAAGCACCGGCUAACUACGUGCCAGCCGCCGCCGUAA